UCACUGCUAUCGGGGUUCGAUUAAGCCAUGCGAGUCGAGAGGGUUCGGCCCUCGGCGUACUACUCGUAACACGUGGAUAACCUACCCUAAGGAACGGGGAGUAACCGUCGGGAAACUGGAAGGAUAAUACCCUAAUACGGUUACAGGACGCUGGUAGCCCUGUAACCCGAAAGCUACCGGCGCCUUAGGAUGGAUCGCGGCCGAUUAGGUUGGUGUGGGGUAACGGCCCACAAGCCGAUAAUCGGUACGGGUUGUGGGAGCAAGAGCCCGGAGUGGAUUCUGAGCAUGAAUCCAGGCCCUACGGGGGCGCAGCAGGCGCGAUG
rnacentral:rRNA from 1 species